rnacentral:rRNA from 1 species
GCGAGCGGCGGACGGGUGAGUAAUGCCUAGGGAUCUGCCCAGUCGAGGGGGAUAACAGUUGGAAACGACUGCUAAUACCGCAUACGCCCUACGGGGGAAAGGAGGGGACCUUCGGGCCUUCCGCGAUUGGAUGAACCUAGGUGGGAUUAGCUAGUUGGUGAGGUAAUGGCUCACCAAGGCGACGAUCCCUAGCUGUUCUGAGAGGAUGAUCAGCCACACUGGGACUGAGACACGGCCCAGACUCCUACGGGAGGCAGCGGUGGGGAAUAUUGCACAUUGGGGGAAACCUGAUGCAGCCAUGCCGCGUGUGUGAAGAAGGCCUCGGGUUGUAAAGCAUUUCAGUAGGGAGGAAAGGAGCAGCUUAUUACGCUGUUGCUGUGACGUUACUACAGAGAAGGUCCGGCUAACUCCGUGCCAGCAGCCGCGGUAAUGCGGAGGGUCCGAGCGUUAAUCGGAAUUACUGGGCGUAAAGCGUGCGCAGGCGGUUUGUUAAGCGAGAUGUGAAAGCCCCGGGCUCAACCUGGGAAUUGCAUUUCGAACUGGCGAACUAGAGUCUUGUAGAGGGGGGUAGAAUUCCAGGUGUAGCGGUGAAAUGCGUAGAGAUCUGGAGGAAUACCGGUGGCGAAGGCGGCCCCCUGGACAAAGACUGACGCUCAGGCACGAAAGCGUGGGGAGCAAACAGGAUUA